AAGUCGUAACAAGGUUUCCGUAGGUGAACCUGCGGAAGGAUCAUUAUUGAAAUAAACCUGAUGAGUUGCUGCUGGUUCUCUAGGGAGCAUGUGCACACUUGUCAUCUUUAUAUCUCCACCUGUGCACCUUUUGUAGACCUGGAUAUCUCUCUGAAUGCUAGUCAUUCAGGAUUGAGGAUUGAUAUUAUGUCUCUCCUUACAUUUCCAGGCCUAUGUUUCUUCAUAUACCCCAAUGUAUGUCAUAGAAUGUAAUCAAUGGCCUUUGUGCCUAUAAACCUAUACAACUUUCAGCAACGGAUCUCUUGGCUCUCGCAUCGAUGAAGAACGCAGCGAAAUGCGAUAAGUAAUGUGAAUUGCAGAAUUCAGUGAAUCAUCGAAUCUUUGAACGCACCUUGCGCUCCUUGGUAUUCCGAGGAGCAUGCCUGUUUGAGUGUCAUUAAUAUAUCAACCUCUUCAGCUUUUGCUUGUUGAGUGUUGGAUGUGGGGGUCUUUUUGCUGGUCUUCCUAGGUCAGCUCCCCUGAAAUGCAUUAGCGGAACAAUUUGUGGACCGUUCNUNGGUGUGAUAACUAUCUACGCUAUUGACCUGAAGNNNNNAAAGCUCAAAUUUAAAAUCUGUCAGUCUUUGGUGAGUUGUNAAUCUAGAGAAGUGUUAUCCGCGCUGGNCCGUGNUANNCAAGUCUCCUGGAAUGGAGCGUCAUAGAGGGUGAGAAUCCCGUCUUUGACACGGACUGCCAGGGCUUUGUGAUGCGCUCUCAAAGAGUCGAGUUGUUUGGGAAUGCAGCUCAAAAUGGGUGGUAAAUUCCAUCUAAAGCUAAAUAUUGGCGAGAGACCGAUAGCGAACAAGUACCGUGAGGGAAAGAUGAAAAGAACUUUGGAAAGAGAGUUAAACAGUACGUGAAAUUGCUGAAAGGGAAACGCUUGAAGUCAGUCGCGUUGUCCAGGGAUCAACCUUGCUUUUGCUUGGUGUACUUUCUGGUUGACGGGUCAGCAUCAAUUUUGACUGUUGGAAAAAGGUCGAGGGAAUGUGGCAUCUUUAGAUGUGUUAUAGCCCUUGGUUGCAUACAAUGGUUGGGAUUGAGGAACUCAGCACGCCGCAAGGCCGGGUAUUUACCACGUACGUGCUUAGGAUGCUGGCGUAAUGGCUUUAAUCGACCCGUCUUGAAACACGGACC
rnacentral:rRNA from 1 species